rnacentral:rRNA from 1 species
GAUGAACGCUGGCGGCGUGCCUAAUACAUGCAAGUCGAGCGAACAGAUGAGGAGCUUGCUCCUCUGACGUUAGCGGCGGACGGGUGAGUAACACGUGGAUAACCUACCUAUACGACUGGGAUAACUUCGGGAAACCGGAGCUAAUACCGGAUAAUAUAUUGAACCGCAUGGUUCACUAGUGAAAGACGGUUUUGCUGUCACUUAUAGAUGGAUCCGCGCCGCAUUAGCUAGUUGGUAAGGUAACGGCUUACCAAGGCAACGAUGCGUAGCCGACCUGAGAGGGUGAUCGGACACACUGGAAGUGAGAAACGGUCCAGACUCCGACGGGAGGAAGCAGUAGGGAAUCUUACGGAAUGGACGAAAGCCUGACGGAGCAACGCCGCGUGAGUGAUGAAGGUCUUCGGAUCGGAAAACUCUGUUAGUAGGGAAGAACAAAUGUGUAAGUAACUAUGCACGUAUUGACGGUACCUAAUCAGAAAGCCACGGCUAACUACGUG